rnacentral:rRNA from 1 species
AAUAGAUACCCGGUAGUCCAUGCCGUAAACGAUGUCUACUAGCCGUUGGGGCCCUUGAGGCUUUAGUGGCGCAGCUAACGCGAUAAGUAGACCGCCUGGGGAGUACGGUCGCAAGACUAAAACUCAAAUGAAUUGACGGGGGCCCGCACAAGCGGUGGAGCAUGUGGUUUAAUUCGAUGCAACGCGAAGAACCUUACCUGGCCUUGACAUACAGAGAACUUUCCAGAGAUGGAUUGGUGCCUUCGGGAACUCUGAUACAGGUGCUGCAUGGCUGUCGUCAGCUCGUGUCGUGAGAUGUUGGGUUAAGUCCCGCAACGAGCGCAACCCUUUUCCUUAUUUGCCAGCACUUCGGGUGGGAACUUUAAGGAUACUGCCAGUGACAAACUGGAGGAAGGCGGGGACGACGUCAAGUCAUCAUGGCCCUUACGGCCAGGGCUACACACGUGCUACAAUGGUCGGUACAAAGGGUUGCUACUGCGCGAGCAGAUGCUAAUCUCAAAAAGCCGAUCGUAGUCCGGAUCGCAGU